CCUACGGGUGGCAGCAGUGAGGAAUAUUGGUCAAUGGUCGGGAGACUGAACCAGCCAAGCCGCGUGAGGGAGGAAGGUACAGAGUAUCGUAAACCUCUUUUGUCAGGGAACAAAGGCGGGGACGCGUCCCCGGAUGAGUGUACCUGAAGAAAAAGCAUCGGCAAACUCCGUGCCAGCAGCCGCGGUAAUACGGAGGAUGCGAGCGUUAUCCGGUUUUUUUGGGUUUAAGGGGUGCGCAGGCGGUCUGUUAAGUCAGCGGUCAAAGCCCGGGGUUAACCCCCGGCCCGCCGUUGAAACUGGCAGUCUCGAGUGGGAGAGAAGUAAGCGGAAUGCGCGGUGUAGCGGUGAAAUGCAUAGAGAUCGCGCAGAACUCCGAUUGCGAAGGCAGCAUGCCGGCUCCACACUGACGCUGAGGCACGAAAGCGUGGGUAUCGAACAGGAUUAGAUACCCCAGUAGUC
rnacentral:rRNA from 1 species